rnacentral:rRNA from 1 species
UACGUAGGGUGCGAGCGUUAAUCGGAAUUACUGGGCGUAAAGCGUGCGCAGGCGGUUUUGUAAGCCAGAUGUGAAAUCCCCGGGCUUAACCUGGGAAUGGCAUUUGGGACUGCAAGGCUUGAGUGCGGCAGAGGAGACUGGAAUUCCUGGUGUAGCGGCGAAAUGCGCAGAUAUCAGGAGGAACACCGGUGGCGAAGGCGGAUCUCUGGGCCAUUACUGACGCUGAGGAGCGAAAGCGUGGGGAGCGAACAGG